rnacentral:rRNA from 1 species
UACAGAGGUCUCAAGCGUUGUUCGGAUUCAUUGGGCGUAAAGGGUGCGUAGGCGGCGCGGUAAGUCGGGUGUGAAAUCUCGGAGCUUAACUCCGAAACUGCAUUCGAUACUGCCGUGCUUGAGGACUGGAGAGGAGACUGGAAUUUACGGUGUAGCGGUGAAAUGCGUAGAUAUCGUAAGGAAGACCAGUGGCGAAGGCGGUCUGCUGGGCAGUUGCUGACACUGAGGCGCGACAGCGUGGGGAGCAAACAGG